UCCGUAGGCGGAUUGAUAAGUCAGAGGUGAAAUCCCACAGCUUAACUGUGGAACUGCCUUUGAAACUGUUAGUCUUGAGUUAUAUGGAAGUAGAUAGAAUGUGUAGUGUAGCGGUGAAAUGCAUAGAGAUUACACAGAAUACCGAUUGCGAAGGCAGUCUACUACGUAUAUACUGACGCUAAUGGACGAAAGCGUGGGGAGCAAACAGGAUUAGAUACCCUGGUAGUCC
rnacentral:rRNA from 1 species